rnacentral:rRNA from 1 species
CCUACGGGAGGCUGCAGUGGGGAAUAUUGGGCAAUGGAGGCAACUCUGACCCAGCAACGCCGCGUGAAUGAUGAAGGUCUUCGGAUUGUAAAGUUCUGUUAUGGGGGAUGAACACAAUGACGGUACCCCAAUAGCAAGCCACGGCUAACUACGUGCCAGCAGCCGCGGUAAUACGUAGGUGGCAAGCGUUAUCCGGAAUGACUGGUCGUAAAGGGUGCGUAGGUGGGUUAGUAAGUUGGCGGUGUAAUUCCGGGGCUCAACCUCGGCGCUACCGCAAAAACUAUUAGACUAGAGUGCAGGGGGGGUAAGUGGAAUUCCUAGUGUAGCGGUGGAAUGCGUAGAUAUUAGGAGGAACAUCAGGGGCGAAGGCGACUUACUGGACUGUAACUGACACUGAGGCACGAAAGCGUGGGGAGCAAACAGGAUUAGAUACCCCUGUAGUC